rnacentral:rRNA from 1 species
AUCAACUUUCGAUGGUAGGAUAGAGGCCUACCAUGGUGGUAACGGGUAACGGGGUGUUAGGGCACGACACCGGAGAGGGAGCCUGAGAAACGGCUACCACAUCCAAGGAUGGCAGCAGGCGCGCAAAUUACCCAAUCCCGACACGGGGAGGUAGUGACAAUAAAUAACAAUACGGGGUUCUUUCGGGUUUCGUAAUUGGAAUGAGUACAAUUUAAAUCUCUUAACGAGGAACAAUUGGAGGGCAAGUCUGGUGCCAGCAGCCGCGGUAAUUCCAGCUCCAAUAGCGUAUAUUAAAGUUGCUGCAGUUAAAAAGCUCGUAGUUGAAUUUCGGGACCAAUAUGUCGGUCGUGCCUCGGUACGUACUGGCAUCGUUGGUUUCUCCCUUCUGACGAACCAUGAUGUCAUUUAUUUGGUGUCGUGGGGAAUCAGGACUGUUACUUUGAAAAAAUUAGAGUGUUUAAAGCAGGCUCACGCUUGAAUACAUUAGCAUGGAAUAAUGAAAUAGGACGUUUGAUUCUAUUUUGUUGGUUUCUAGGAUCGACGUAAUGAUUAAUAGGGAUAGUUGGGGGCAUUAGUAUUCAAUUGUCAGAGGUGAAAUUCUUGGAUUUAUUGAAGACUAACUACUGCGAAAGCAUUUGCCAAGGAUGUUUUCAUUAAUCAAGAACGAAAGUUAGGGGAUCGAAGACGAUCAGAUACCGUCGUAGUCUUAACCAUAAACUAUGCCGACUAGGGAUCGGAUGAUGUUAAUUUUUUAAUGACUCAUUCGGCGCCUUACGGGAAACCAAAGUGUUUGGGUUC